AUUGAACGCUGGCGGCGUGCUUAACACAUGCAAGUCGCACGUGAAAGUCCCUUCGGGGAUGAGUAAAGUGGCGCACGGGUGAGUAACGCGUGGAUGAUCUACCUAUGAGUUGGGGAUAACAGUUGGAAACGAUUGCUAAUACCCGGUACGUUCUGCUAUCGAAGGCAGGAGAAAGAAGGCCUCUGUUUCAAGCUUUUGCUCAUAGAUGAGUCCGCGUCCCAUUAGCUAGUUGGUGAGGUAACGGCCCACCAAGGCGACGAUGGGUAGUAGGUCUGAGAGGAUGGCCUGCCACACUGGGACUGGAACACGGCCCAGACUCCUACGGGAGGCAGCAGUGGGGAAUAUUGCGCAAUGGGCGAAAGCCUGACGCAGCGACGCCGCGUGAGGGAUGAAGGUCUUCGGAUCGUAAACCUCUGUCAAGAGGGAAGAAACAGUCUAGUGCUAAUCAGCUAGGCCUUGACGGUACCUCUAAAGGAAGCACCGGCUAACUCCGUGCCAGCAGCCGCGGUAAUACGGAGGGUGCAAGCGUUAAUCGGAAUCACUGGGCGUAAAGCGCUCGUAGGCUGUUUGGUAAGUCAGGGGUGAAAGCCCACCGCUCAACGGUGGAAUUGCCUUUGAUACUGCUGAACUAGAGUUCGGGAGAGGGUAGUGGAAUUCCCAGGUGUAGGAGUGAAAUCCGUAGAUAUUUGGAGGGAACAUCAGUGGCGAAAGGCGACUACCUGGACCGAUACUGACGCUGGAGGA
rnacentral:rRNA from 1 species